rnacentral:tRNA from 5 species
GGUUCCGUGGUGUAGGGGUUAACAUGCCUGCCUGUCACGCAGGAGAUCGCGGGUUCGAUUCCCGUCGGGACCGUCA